ensembl:lncRNA
CGUGCACAUAGCUGUGUUCCUCUGCGACGGUCACUGACAAAAUGCAUGCAGCAUGUUAUAGAUUCCGCAAUCCCAAAUACUUCACUUACUUCAGUGGAAGUUAAAGUUGGCGCCAGAUGACCACCAGGUCACCACUACCAUGUCUGACAAAUUAAACUAAACAUAAAUAGUUCAAUACAUUCUAAACUAAAGAGGGCAAAUUAGAAUAGCAGAUAGAAUGAACUAAAACAGUCAAAGAGUCAGAAAUGCUUUCAAAACGUAUAUAUUAUUUCAGGUCACAAUCAAUAAAAACAUAGAAGCUUAUGUAUACCUGGCUAGCACAGACAGACUGCUCGUCCUAGGCUAGAAUUUCUGAUUUUUUAAGGCGGAUCCAGAAAAAUCCCCAAAAGAGACCACAUUCAUUAAUGUUACACAUCUAACAAGACCAUUCCACCUUAAAUCUUAAACGAUGUAAAGAUGCAGGCCCCUUUUAAAAGUGAAUGAAACAGAACAGUAGGCACUCAAAACCACAAUAAUCAGAGCUAGAUCAUUGUAUCAUUGUACAAUACAACUCUUAAAGAACAGGCACAAAUGCAAACCAAACUAUGCUGGAAAAGCAAAAUCCGGGCAAGCCAGCAGACCAGGUGUAGCAUGGCUAGCAUCCUCAGGUUGAUCUCUUUGACCACGACGUUCCUCUUCUUCUAAAUCAGAUUCAGAUACCCCUUGCAUUUCUUCUUCUUCUUCAACGUCACAUGAUUCUUCUACUCGUGGAAUUUUGGGUAUCAAAAACCGAUCCAUUAUUGUGAAUUUGUUGAUACUACCGCUUCACUUUGACUUUGACAGUGCACUAGCUCUCUUUCUCCUUCAAUCGUCAGGAAACGUCAACGUUCACACAUGCGAUGUGUCUCUGUCGUGCUACGUAAACAAUCUGUUCAUUUCAAUCUGUUAUUAUUUUCUUUUGUGAUUGAAAUAUUAUUAUCACACAAUGAAUUAAAUUAAUAACGCAGAAUUAAAUUAAAUAACAAUAAUAAAUAAACCAUUAUUUUCUUGGGGU